ACUCAAAUGAAUUGACGGGGGAGCGCACAACCGGUGGAGCAUGUGGUUUAAUUCGAUACGAAGCGAAAAACCUUACCCAGGUUUGACAUGUACCUGCAAAGCUCUGGAAACAGAGCCUUCUUCGAGAGUGGUACACAGGUGAUGCAUGGCUGUCGUCAGCUCGUGUCGUGAGACGUCUCUUUAAGUAGAGUAACGAGCGCAACCCUUAUUGCUAGUUAUACGUGUCUAGCGAGACUGCCUUGAAUUUUUCAGGGAGGAAGGAGAGGAUGACGUCAAGUCAGCAUGUCCCUUACAUCUGGGGCAACACACAUCCUACAAUGGAGCCGACAAUAGGCUGCGACGUCGUGAGACUGAGCAAAUCCUACAAACGGCCCCUCAGUUCGGAUUGCAGGCUGCAACUCGCCUGCAUGAAGCCGGAAUCGGUAGUAAUCGCAAAUCAUCAGGUUGCGGUGAAUACGUUCUCGCUCCUUGCACACACCGCCCGU
rnacentral:rRNA from 1 species